ACUAUCCUAAAAAUGAAUGAAAAGCCUAAGUCUAAAUUAGGGCUACCAAGGAUCACAAUAAGGGGUCAGAUAAUCCCUCAACCAAAGUCUCCGAGGUGGCUCAAAAAAAGGUAAGUAGUAUGAGUAGCUAUGGGCCACCAAGGAACUACUGUGAAGCACUGGAAGUGAACUUAAAGACAUGUGCUAAAGGGACAAAAUUGAGGGUC
rnacentral:lncRNA from 1 species